rnacentral:rRNA from 1 species
GACGGAGGAUGCAAGCGUUAUCCGGAAUGAUUGGGCGUAAAGCGUCCGCAGGUGGCAGUUCAAGUCUGCUGUCAAAGACCGGGGCUUAACUUCGGAAAGGCAGUGGAAACUGAACAGCUAGAGUAUGGUAGGGGCAGAGGGAAUUCCCGGUGUAGCGGUGAAAUGCGUAGAUAUCUGGAGGAACACCGGUGGCGAAGGCGACAUCCUGGACCGGUAUUGACGCUGAGGCGCGAAAGCCAGGGGAGCAAACGGG